UUUUUUUUUUUUUUUUUUUGCUAGAAAUAAACAAAACGGUUUCCAGCAGCAUGGGAAUUUAAAGUAAAUGGAAUUGUCUAUGGAGGAGUACAAUCAAGAUUAUAUUUUGUUGUUAGUUUCUUUAAAAAGAAAGUAAAAGCUUACAAUCAAAGAAAAAGAAACAGAACAACAAUUUUUUUAAAAAACUAAAGAAUAUCCCUUAUAUUCUCUUCUGCAAAUACUAUGUAUUUUGGCAGUAAAUUUUAUUUGUGCUUGACAAAAUCAAAAUUCAGCAGAGAAAAGGAUAAAAAUGAAUUUGAUAGUUGUGCCCUGGGAGUAGAUUUUCUCAGUUUGCCUCUUAAAUACAGAAUUAGCAGAGCACCUGUCUGGAAAAACACUGAGGACAUGAGCUGCCUCUGGAGGAUGGCUGCCUUCACAUUUUAGCUCCUGGUGCCAGCAGGAAACAUGCAGCAUCAAUUUGGGUGCCAGCUGGGAUCCUACACCACUGAUGGGAGAGUUUGGGCACCUCAGGCUGAGCCUGCUGCUGAGAUAGCUGCUUGGAGAUCAGACACAUGAUCUGGGGGAUGAGGGAAGCUGAUGUUCAACUGGGGCUCUCAGCCUGGAAGCCCCAGUUGGGAGUCUGAGCCUUCCCUUCACACUACUACCAGUACAACUACACAUAAAUAAAUAAAUAAAUAAGUAUCAGCAUUUCCAAAAGCUGUAUCCAUAGAUCUGGGUCUUGCCAUUCAAAUGCUGAAGAGCAACGCUAUGCAGAAUCAAUUGGAAAGCCUUAGAAACCUCCGGUUUGGAACAGUGGUGGGCAAGAGGAGAAGGAAACAGCCUGAAAACUGUAUCCUUGCCCUCCUGAACAUUCACACUGUGAAAAGUUCUGAUCAAACUCUCAUGCUUGGACUUUUUUUUCUGCUUUAACAAAUGGGAGCUUACAAAUUUUACUGGAGCAAUGCCCAAAGGCAAACUAAGCUGUGCAAGCAACUUUCCUCUAAACAGAAGCAAACUGGUUGCUGACAGAGGGAUGGAAGGUGUCUGUGUGUUUUUAAAAUGUUUUUGUGUGCCAGAUUCAACAGUUUUAAUCAGCUAAACACAUGUUGUGCAAAUGUUAAAUCUCUCAGUCAAGCCAUGUUCUCCCUUCUUUUCAAUGAAAACAGAACAAGAAUUGUUACUUGGGGAAACAGUCACAAAACAGCAUGAAAAAUGACAAUCACAUCAGUUAUCCCUUCUCUCUUCUAUAGCAAAUUAAUACCUAGCAUUUCCUCUUAGGCAGUGGGUAUCAGUGAUCAGGUGAAAGAUCUAGAAUGUCCCAGCCACGAUGAAAACAGUGCUAACAUAUAUAUUAUCAACAGAUCAAUUAGCCAGGAACACACAAAUGGGUCCUUCUAUUAAGAGUUCCUCUCUUACUGUCUCAGGAGGAAAAACAACAAACAAAAAAAAAACCCAUCACCAACAAAACAAAAGGGAAGAGAGGGGAGGAGAAGGGAGGGGAGGGAAGGAGAGAACAAUAUACAUUCUGAAGAAAGUCCUGUAGCAGACUGUAGUUUUCCAAGAGCUAUCAUUUCACAUGUCUUUCAAGCAGCCACUUCCCAACACGUCGAAUGUCACCAAGGAAAACAGGGGUGAGGAUAAAUCACGGAAUCUUACAUUUGUCCCAGGCACAAGCAGCAAAAAAACAAUUCAUGCAAUAUUCAUCUCUAGGUCCUGCUGUCCUCCUUUUUUUAGGGAACAGCUUCAGGAGUAUUUUUGACUUUUGUCCCUGUUUCAUUCCAGAGGACCAUAAUCCAUGAACAUGCCUCUUCAGCCUAUAGGAACUGGACAAGGCACUGUGCAGUAAUGGUACCGAGGAUUAUAUUCAAUCCACUGUACUCUGCUUUGAAGAUUUGUUCAUCCACACUCCUGCCACUCUUAACCAGGUACAAAUAAGUUUCAAAUCCUGUUAACAUCGCAGGAUUAGUGUGACACCUGAUGCUGGCAGAUCACAGUCUGUCCCAGCAUAACAAUCUUGCUGAAUGUUGCAGUAGUUCAAAUCCCCCCAGUGGGAUCUUACUCACCCUGAACAAGAUUGACAGAUCUUUGGCUAAAUUACACUAAUCCAUGUCACCGGUAGGGAAGAGGAUUCUUGUUUUUUAUUUUCCAAGUCAUCUUUUGGUCUAGUUUGAAGCCGCUGAAUCUGUCAUUAAAAUAAAACUAUGCAUUUGAAAGUCAACAGGCUUUUAAGUAAAGGAGUCAGAAAGAAUGUUCUUCUUGAAAGACAGGUGAGAUCCAGCUUUCAAGGCUGAAGUAAGCCACAGUUAUGGGAACAGCGCAACAAAACUCAGUGGUAAUUUGAUAUGACAAUAAAUGGCUGAGUCAAUAGUAAUAAAAUGGCCUCACUAACAAAUAUCUGUUCUCUUUUCUGAAUUGUGUAAAGUUUGCAUUUUAGUAGAAAAAAAAAGAAAGAGAAAAAGAAAGAGAAAAAGGAAAAGAAAAAGAAAAAAUAAAAAAAGAAAAAAAGAGAAAGAAAAAGAAAAACUAUGGCUUACUAUGGAUACUUAUCCUGCUUGCAUUUAUUAAAAUUGUUAUUUCCCAGAGAAUACAUUCUAAACUCUCUAAAUUCUGUCGUCUCUGGAAGAGUGAGAACAGCAUGCAUCCAUUUCUCUGGCAGUGCUU
ensembl:lncRNA